rnacentral:rRNA from 1 species
UACGUAGGGUGCAAGCGUUAAUCGGAAUUACUGGGCGUAAAGCGUGCGCAGGCGGUUCGCUAAGACAGAUGUGAAAUCCCCGGGCUUAACCUGGGAACUGCAUUGGUGACUGGCAGGCUUUGAGUGUGGCAGAGGGAGGUAGAAUUCCACGUGUAGCAGUGAAAUGCGUAGAGAUGUGGAGGAAUACCGAUGGCGAAGGCAGCCUCCUGGGCCAACACUGACGCUCAUGCACGAAAGCGUGGGGAGCAAACGGG